UGGAAGACAUCCCUCAAGAUAACCUUACAGAACUGUCUUGGCUUCUCCCUGCAAUUAAGCGACAUUUCGGUCGAACCAAAUCAGUCCUGGGGCUACAACAGUGGUUGGACUCACGGACCAGACGGGGGGAGAACGCCUUGGUACUUUUGUGGCGGAGAUUCAGGGACUGCACACUCGGACUCCACCACCUGCUGAUGUUUAAUUUCCAGUGGUUCUCCUUGCACCACAAGAUGAAGUACUCUAUGAGCUACAAGCUCCCACCAGUAAAAGAGACUACUAAACAGGCACUGAGUGGUGUGAUGAUGCGGGAUCUGCUCCAUGCUCUCAUCUGGCUUCUGGGAGCUCUUGAACUCGACACCAAUGGUAAUGUAAACGGAUGAGCUGGACGGUGAAGACAUCAACAAAGAAGCAAGGUGGAAGACCAAACAUGACAAAACUUGUCCAACUCAUCCCUAAAGACGUCACUUCCGGUUCCGGCACCUAAAGAAACGUCACUUCCUAUUUUGACGUCAGAAGGAGGUCGUUUCUGGCUCCCAUACUUCACUUCUGGUCUUGGCAUUUAAAACCACCAUCUUAACAACUAUUCAUCAGUUCUAGUUUGGACUCCAUCAAAGACACUACUGUCUUACUCUCAAAACCCAUUGCUGCCAGGGAUAAUAUAUGGGUGGCUAUACCAAACCUUUGUAAGUGUGUCAAGUCUGAUCAUUUCACAAACCCCACUGCAUUAGUUCAACUAAGCUAAAAAUGUUUUGCUGCUGAUUUUCAUUUGUACUCCGCGUGUGAUGCUUCACAUUGCAGAGUACAAUAAUAGUCUAUAUAAUAAUAAUAAUAACAUCUAUAUGCU